UCAAACUGAGGCGAAGCUGUGGACUGCUUCGAGCUGCAAGACCACGCUUGAGUAUUCGCUAUGGUAGCCUGUCCUACACUCACUACAGAUUACGGUGCUGACCAUUACAAACGGGCAAAUUUCUUAUAGAAACCGCAAGACGAACUUGCCAGAUAUCUAUAAUUCCACAACGUUCCCUAUGUUGGUAAUAAAAAAGACACGCAAACCCCGUGGUCGGGCCAAGUCGACCUGCGCUAUGAGAGGACGAGGUUCUCGAGCGUGACUACAGGGAGGCUCCUCGGCCCUGGAGGACGCCGGGUGGAAACCGACGCACCACCCCUCACCUAAUCCACCCCCGCACCAUCACCCCCCUCCCCCGCCUGCUUCUCACAUGCCGGGACCUAUGAACCAUCAUCCACCCGGUGUGAUGUCCCACCCGGGAAAUAUGCCGGGGCACAUGCCGCACA